UACGUAGGGGGCUAGCGUUGUCCGGAUUUAUUGGGCGUAAAGAGCGUGUAGGCGGCCAGGUAGGUCUGCUGUGAAAACUCGAGGCUCAACCUCGAGACGUCGGCGGAAACCAUCUGGCUAGAGUCCGGAAGAGGAGAGUGGAAUUCCUGGUGUAGCGGUGAAAUGCGCAGAUAUCAGGAAGAACACCGUGGCGAAGGCGGCUCUCUGGGACGGUACUGACGCUGAGACGCGAAAGCGUGGGGAGCGAACAGG
rnacentral:rRNA from 1 species